CAAUUAUCACAUAAGUGUUUAUUUAUGCGAUGCUUUAGAUUUACCAUUCUAUGUGCAAUACGUAUAAAAGCCGUUCAGUAAAUUGAUAUUGAAUUUGCGAUUGUGUUGAGAAUUCCCUGCAAUUCCGAACGGAGACAUUAAGAGAAAAGAACACUUGCUGCUUUACGAAGUAUAUUUUAUGCGUUCAGUCGAGUUGGGGUGCAGAAAACACACUGAAGGAACGAAGGUUCUGUCAGGAGGACGUGUUGCAACAAUAUACGACAGCUAUAUUACAACGAUGAAAUAUUCUAACUAUGUUAAAUUUAGGUAUCCAGUUCUGUUUGGGAGUUUUCUUUUAUUCGCUAUAACCGCAUUUAAUUACCGACAUUCAUUGCUUGGAGAUAUGGAAGAAAGCCGUAUUGUGAUGCGGAAAGAAGAUGAAGCCGGCAAGAAAGCUAUCAGAGAUUUCAUAAGAGAGAAACGAUCUACAUGAUUAAAAGAUGGGAGGGCCAGAUCAGUCAAUCAUGCAACUACUGGAAGGGCUGCUGCCCCCCUUCAGGAACCACAUGUUUGUCUGGCCUCUCAAGACACACUCCUUCAUUCUGGUUGCACCUGUGGUAUGGCUAUUUGUAUUGCUGAAGCAUGCAAGUUGCCCUGCAAAAGGAAGCCCACAAUGCAGCUGCUGAACCAUCUGAUCAAAAAUGUGAACUAAUGGGGCAAGAGAAAUGUGUUAAAGCUUUUGAAAAUGUGUUUGUGACCAGUUUUCACAGGACAUUUGUUGCUGGUUUUUUAAAACUGGAAAUAAAAGGCUGAAAUGUUUGACUGAAUCUGCUGAAAUGGAGUAAGCGUGUUCCUAAAAGGCUACAGUAGUGGCAAGAUUCAGCUGAGCCACAUUUAUUUUACAGAAAACAAAAGUCAUAGUGCCUAAUAAGCAAUGUUUGAUUAAAUGUAGUGGAAAUUUUUGUGAUGAUAAUUGUGUGUUGCAAUAUAAUGAAGAACAAAAAUA
rnacentral:lncRNA from 1 species